GCUGACCAGCUAGUCUACAGACGUGAGAUAAUGACAAGACAGGAUAUAUCUUCACAUCAAUUGAAUGCAUUAAAACAAACCAUUUUGCCGCCCGAGUAUAGGAGAUAGAAAAG
rnacentral:rRNA from 1 species